rnacentral:rRNA from 1 species
UACGGAGGGUGCAAGCGUUAUCCGGAUUUACUGGGUUUAAAGGGUGCGUAGGCGGGCAGGACAGUCAGUGGUGAAAUAUGGCAGCUCAACUGUCAGGGUGCCAUUGAUACUGCAGAGCUUGAGUACAGAUGAGGUAGGCGGAAUUGACGGUGUAGCGGUGAAAUGCUUAGAUAUCGUCAAGAACACCGAUAGCGAAGGCAGCUUACUGGGCUGUAACUGACGCUGAGGCACGAAAGUGUGGGGAUCAAACAGG